GACGAACGCUGGCGGCGUGCUUAACACAUGCAAGUCGAACGGAAAGGCCCUGCUUUUGUGGGGUGCUCGAGUGGCGAACGGGUGAGUAACACGUGAGUAACCUGCCCUUGACUUUGGGAUAACUUCAGGAAACUGGGGCUAAUACCGGAUAGGAGCUCCUGCUGCAUGGUGGGGGUUGGAAAGUUUCGGCGGUUGGGGAUGGACUCGCGGCUUAUCAGCUUGUUGGUGGGGUAGUGGCUUACCAAGGCUUUGACGGGUAGCCGGCCUGAGAGGGUGACCGGCCACAUUGGGAAUGAGAUACGGCCCAGACUCCUAAGGGAGGCAGCAGGGGGGAAUAUUGCACAAUGGGCGGAAGCCUGAUGCAGCAACGCCGCGUGCGGGAUGACGGCCUUCGGGUUGUAAACCGCUUUCGCCUGUGACGAAGCGUGAGUGACGGUAAUGGGUAAAGAAGCACCGGCUAACUACGUG
rnacentral:rRNA from 1 species